AAUGAAAAUGUUGGGUCAUAGGGUAAUUUUAACUUUUUGAGGGACUUCCAGAGUGUUGUCAACAGCAGCUGUGCCAUUUUAUACCCCCACCAGCAAU
rnacentral:pre_miRNA from 1 species